rnacentral:tRNA from 1 species
CGAGGUGUGGCGCAGUUUGGUAGCGCACCUGGUUUGGGACCAGGGGGUCGGGGGUUCAAAUCCCUUCGCCUCGACCA